GAACGCUGGCGGCAGGCCUAACACAUGCAAGUCGAGCGGUAGAGAGAAGCUUGCUUCUCUUGAGAGCGGCGGACGGGUGAGUAAUGCCUAGGAAUCUGCCUGGUAGUGGGGGAUAACGCUCGGAAACGGACGCUAAUACCGCAUACGUCCUACGGGAGAAAGCAGGGACCUUCGGGCCUUGCGCUAUCAGAUGAGCCUAGGUCGGAUUAGCUAGUUGGUGAGGUAAUGGCUCACCAAGGCGACGAUCCGUAACUGGUCUGAGAGGAUGAUCAGUCACACUGGAACUGAGACACGGUCCAGACUCCUACGGGAGGCAGCAGUGGGGAAUAUUGGACAAUGGGCGAAAGCCUGAUCCAGCCAUGCCGCGUGUGUGAAGAAGGUCUUCGGAUUGUAAAGCACUUUAAGUUGGGAGGAAGGGCAUUAACCUAAUACGUUGGUGUCUUGACGUUACCGACAGAAUAAGCACCGGCUAACUCUGUGCCAGCAGCCGCGGUAAUACAGAGGGUGCAAGCGUUAAUCGGAAUUACUGGGCGUAAAGCGUACGCAGGCGGCUUUGCAAGACAGGUGUGAAAUCCCCGGGCCUAACCUGGGAACUGCAUUUGUGACUGCAUGGCUAGAGUUUGUCAGAGGGGGGUGGAAUUCCACGUGUAGCAGUGAAAUGCGUAGAGAUGUGGAAGAACACCGAUGGCGAAGGCAGCCCCCUGGGAUGUGACUGACGCUCAUGUACGAAAG
rnacentral:rRNA from 1 species